rnacentral:rRNA from 1 species
AGAGUUUGAUUCUGGCUCAGGAUGAACGCUGGCGGUAUGCUUAACACAUGCAAGUCGAACGGGGAGUACUUGUACUCCUAUUGGCGGACGGGUGAGUAACACGUGAGAAUCUGCCUUCAGGAUGGGGACAACAUUGGGAAACUGAUGCUAAUACCCGAUAUGCCGAGAGGUGAAAGCUUUAGUGCCUGAAGAGGAGCUCGCGGCUGAUUAGCUAGUUGGUGGGGUAAGAGCCCACCAAGGCGACGAUCAGUAGCUGGUCUGAGAGGAUGAUCAGCCACACUGGGACUGAGACACGGCCCAGACUCCUACGGGAGGCAGCAGUGGGGAAUUUUCCGCAAUGGGCGCAAGCCUGACGGAGCAAUACCGCGUGAGGGAGGACGGCUUUUGGGUUGUAAACCUCUUUUGUUUGGGAAGAAGGUCUGACGGUACCAAACGAAUCAGCAUCGGCUAACUCCGUGCCAGCAGCCGCGGUAAUACGGAGGAUGCAAGCGUUAUCCGGAUUUAUUGGGCGUAAAGCGUCCGCAGGUGGUGAUUCAAGUCUGCUGUCAAAGCGCGGAGCUUAACUCCGUAAAGGCGGUGGAAACUGAAUGACUGGAGUACGGUAGGGGUAGCGGGAAUUCCCAGUGUAGCGGUGAAAUGCGUAGAUAUUGGGAAGAACACCAGCGGCGAAAGCGCGCUACUGGGCCUGUACUGACACUGAGGGACGAAAGCUAGGGGAGCGAAAGGGAUUAGAUACCCCUGUAGUCCUAGCUGUAAACGAUGGGUACUAGGUGUUGGCCGUAUCGACCCGGUCAGUGCCGUAGCUAACGCGUUAAGUACCCCGCCUGGGGAGUACGCACGCAAGUGUGAAACUCAAAGGAAUUGACGG